rnacentral:rRNA from 1 species
AGAGUUUGAUCCUGGCUCAGGAUGAACGCUGGCGGCGUGCCUAAUACAUGCAAGUCGAGCGAACGGACGAGAAGCUUGCUUCUCUGAUGUUAGCGGCGGACGGGUGAGUAACACGUGGAUAACCUACCUAUAAGACUGGGAUAACUUCGGGAAACCGGAGCUAAUACCGGAUAAUAUUUUGAACCGCAUGGUUCAAAAGUGAAAGACGGUCUUGCUGUCACUUAUAGAUGGAUCCGCGCUGCAUUAGCUAGUUGGUAAGGUAACGGCUUACCAAGGCAACGAUGCAUAGCCGACCUGAGAGGGUGAUCGGCCACACUGGAACUGAGACACGGUCCAGACUCCUACGGGAGGCAGCAGUAGGGAAUCUUCCGCAAUGGGCGAAAGCCUGACGGAGCAACGCCGCGUGAGUGAUGAAGGUCUUCGGAUCGUAAAACUCUGUUAUUAGGGAAGAACAUAUGUGUAAGUAACUGUGCACAUCUUGACGGUACCUAAUCAGAAAGCCACGGCUAACUACGUGCCAGCAGCCGCGGUAAUACGUAGGUGGCAAGCGUUAUCCGGAAUUAUUGGGCGUAAAGCGCGCGUAGGCGGUUUUUUAAGUCUGAUGUGAAAGCCCACGGCUCAACCGUGGAGGGUCAUUGGAAACUGGAAAACUUGAGUGCAGAAGAGGAAAGUGGAAUUCCAUGUGUAGCGGUGAAAUGCGCAGAGAUAUGGAGGAACACCAGUGGCGAAGGCGACUUUCUGGUCUGUAACUGACGCUGAUGUGCGAAAGCGUGGGGAUCAAACAGGAUUAGAUACCCUGGUAGUCCACGCCGUAAACGAUGAGUGCUAAGUGUUAGGGGGUUUCCGCCCCUUAGUGCUGCAGCUAACGCAUUAAGCACUCCGCCUGGGGAGUACGACCGCAAGGUUGAAACUCAAAGGAAUUGACGGGGACCCGCACAAGCGGUGGAGCAUGUGGUUUAAUUCGAAGCAACGCGAAGAACCUUACCAAAUCUUGACAUCCUUUGACAACUCUAGAGAUAGAGCCUUCCCCUUCGGGGGACAAAGUGACAGGUGGUGCAUGGUUGUCGUCAGCUCGUGUCGUGAGAUGUUGGGUUAAGUCCCGCAACGAGCGCAACCCUUAAGCUUAGUUGCCAUCAUUAAGUUGGGCACUCUAAGUUGACUGCCGGUGACAAACCGGAGGAAGGUGGGGAUGACGUCAAAUCAUCAUGCCCCUUAUGAUUUGGGCUACACACGUGCUACAAUGGACAAUACAAAGGGCAGCGAAACCGCGAGGUCAAGCAAAUCCCAUAAAGUUGUUCUCAGUUCGGAUUGUAGUCUGCAACUCGACUACAUGAAGCUGGAAUCGCUAGUAAUCGUAGAUCAGCAUGCUACGGUGAAUACGUUCCCGGGUCUUGUACACACCGCCCGUCACACCACGAGAGUUUGUAACACCCGAAGCCGGUGGAGUAACCUUUUAGGAGCUAGCCGUCGAAGGUGGGAC